UACGAAGGGGGCUAGCGUUGCUCGGAAUUACUGGGCGUAAAGCGCACGUAGGCGGAUUGUUAAGUCGGGGGUGAAAUCCUGGAGCUCAACUCCAGAACUGCCUUUGAUACUGAGGAUCUUGAGUUCGGGAGAGGUGAGUGGAACUGCGAGUGUAGAGGUGAAAUUCGUAGAUAUUCGCAAGAACACCAGUGGCGAAGGCGGCUCACUGGCCCGAUACUGACGCUGAGGCACGAAAGCGUGGGGAGCAAACAGGG
rnacentral:rRNA from 1 species